CCCCGCCCGGCCAGGAUCUCUCAGGCGACCGAUAUAUGCAGAGAACCACGUGGAGGAAAGGCACGCGAGUUUGGAGGGGGUGGAGCACCUGAAUAUGACACGACGGGGCAGCUGGAAGGUGUUGGGAAGACCCUCACGCUGCGCCGUGGGCAGGUGCUCCUGUCUCAGUGGACGGAUGUGUGGAGAGGGGCUUCUUUCUCUUUCUACCGAGCAAGGAUUCCACGCCCUAAGCCCCUGGACCUCAGAGGCCUCUGUGUCUUUUGAAGCUAAGCCCACUCACCGUGGCCUUGGGCUCUCCUCCCACAGGCGUGGCUGCAAAGGGACCCUUGUUGAGGGGCCGCUAAACUCUUCAAGGAAACAGUGCCAGGGUGACAAAGACCACACAGGAGGCUCACACAGGUGCCAGGGUGUCAUGGCUUCUCACAGUUGAGGCUGAACGCCUGGCUUCCCAGUUCCUUCCAGAAAGACCUUCCAGCUUUAGCUCUUACUACCCCGAGGGUGGCAUUUGAACUCCCUUCCCCUACAAAGGCUCUUCAUUUUUUGGCUGCAAGCAGGGCACAGCAAAAGGGCCCUGUGUCCAGGCUGGCUACACUGUCCUGAGUGGCCAACAGCCCACGUGGGGAUGGGUGGGUCCCCGUGGUCGGUGACACGGGCAGCUCCUUCUCUUCCUUGAGCGCUUCUCUUGCCCUCUUCCGGCCUGGCCACUACGGGGCUCACUGGCAAAGCUCAGGUAUCAGUGGGAGGUGUCGCAAGAGUGGGAGUCAGUGGCGUGAGUUUAGAUCCUGGGCCUUUAAGCAAAUGCUCAGAAAAACCAUCCUACCCAGCGCUAAAUACCAAAUGAGUCAGCUUCUGGGUAGUCACUACUGUCCUCCCCCAGAUUCCCUUCUGGGGGCUGCCUCACUCUGGCAGCAACUGAGACCCAGAACCACCCUGUGAUGCUGUUCUAGUCCCUUCUACCAGGGGGCGCUUUCUACUCAGUGACUUUUAGGGGAGGGAGCUGGGGCGGGCCUCAGUGUUCUCUCCCCACCCCCAGUGCUUUAUGUGGCCAUGUUGGAGUUAAGAAGAGACGCUUGUCCUCACACCUUGAUGAUGAGGGCAGCUCCCGCGUACCGCCUCGCUUCCCGAGCCGCCCCUCUGUGCCCCUCUCUAUAGCAGCUGUAAGCUGACGGGGCAUUUCUGAGAACAUCCAGACGCCAGAAGGCAGACUCCGUGCCUUCGUGCCUGUUAGCACGUUCUGGAACCGGCGCCAUGCGGCUUGGCCCACACAUGGGGCAGGUGAGUCCACAGAGAGGGAACAUUUGUUUAUUUGGGCAAACGUGCCGUGUUAGAGUGGUUCUGAGAAGCCGGGCAUGCAGUGGUCCACCCCUGGGGGGCGGGGGGG